GCAACUGUGCUCACCUUGCCUUUGAUGAUUAAGUGCUAGCACCUGGCCCUUGCCACCUCAGAAUACAGUUAUUUCCAUUACAUGUACCUUUUUCAGUUGAGUGACUGAGGUUCCCACUGUAAAGUCCAGCUUAAACAGAAGAGUAACUACGGAGCUCUUCAGGGAUGCUGGGGCUCCCCUAACAAAUCUGUUUCUCAAUGUGUUCAUGAGAGGUGUGUCUUCUGGAUUCUUCCAGUGUGGAUGAAGAAAAGUCUGCUGCAACCUUACAUAAAAAAGAAAAAUCCUUCUGUGAUGAUAUUUGCUCUGCAACUCUCUGUCCAAUCUUAGAUUGGCACCAUCCUGGUCAUUGAUCCUUGUCCAGCAACAUUAGAAGCAACCAACUAAUGGUCAUCAUAGUCUGUUUUCCAAAAAUGUUCAAAAGUACCAUACACAGAGCCACCAAGUUUCUUGCCUCUUAUAAAUGAUUGACUAGGAUUAUCAAAUGCAGAUAUUGUGCAUAUUUCUAUAAGAAGUUCAUGCCAUGGGUUAUUGAUUAGGGCUCUCUCUACUGUUACAGGUGGAGUCCUUAGACUUUUUAGGUCUAAUUAGAUUAAACAGUUAAUUCCCAAAACUCCAAAACCAAUUAAGGAAACAUCCUUAGAAGUCUGUUCCUCCAAAACCACUCUUAAUACCAAAAUUUGUAUUAGGCAGGGUUCAGAGAGAACCAACAGGAAAUAUAUUGGGAAAGUUGUCAGAAUCAAAAUACAGUCACAUAUUUUGGAAAAAACAAACAACAGAGCCAGAGAAGACUAUGAAGGGAGAGUUCUCAUGCGCAAAUGCCUGAUAACAAAAACGAUCACAAACAAUUCUGCGAAGAAUGCAACCUUGCACAAAGUCUGCUGCAACCUUAUAUUAAAAAAUUCUUCUGUGAGGAUACCUUCCCAGCAACUGCCUGUCCAGUCUUAGAUUGGCAUCAUUCUGGUUAUUGAUCCUGGUAGCCACGGAUAAUUAUCACAGAAUAAUUAUGUAAUACUAUUCAUUUUUCCUUCAAAAAUAUUUGUCUUCUCUUUCCUCACUGAAUACACACAUAGUUUACUAUGGCACAAGUAUUCCCAUUGCAAUGCCCAUUCUUGAAUAAUUAUCAUUUUAUUUUAGAGAAUCUUCCUCUCUGUUAUAUAGGAUGACAGGGAAUUGGCCUACACAUGGGACUGAGAGGUCCCAUGACAAGCCUUCUCCAAGCUGAAAACCCUGGGAUACUAGCAGCAUGGCUUGGUCCAAGUUUUAAAGCCCCAGAACCAGGGAAGCUGAUGGCAUAAUUCUCAGUCCUAGGCCAAAUGUGGGAGAUCUUGGGAGGUAGGGGCCCUGCUGGUAUAAGUCCCGGAGUGCCCAGGCUACUUAGCCUGAAGUUCUGAUAUCCAAGGGCAGGACAAGGAGAGUCCCAGCAUUAAUAAAGAGAGAGAAGAAAUCCUUUGCUCUCCUUGUUCAUUCCAUCUGGGCCCCCAGCUGAUUGCAUGGUGUUUGCCCACCCUGAGGGUGGACCUUCCCCUCUCAGUCCACAGACUCACCUGUCAACCUCCUCUGGAAACACCCUCACAGACACACUAAGAAGUCAUGCUUUACCCAUUCCCCAGCAAAGAACAUGGACUCACAGACACUGGGUGGCUUACACAAUGUCUUGAAGCCCCAAAGACUAGGUUGAAAUGCACAUGCAUUUUCACAAUACCACGCUUCUUCAUCUCUGUAAAGCUUACAUUUUAAUCCUCAUACAAGCUUUUGAUUAUUGGCUUUGAAUUACUUGAUGAUGAGUUCGGCUGAGACUUUGGUAGUAACUGAGGAUAUGGCAGAAACAUCAACUCUCUGGCAAUUGCCAUAAGAAGUCUCUCUUGUAUUUCUCAAACACAC
rnacentral:lncRNA from 1 species